GUUGUGGCUCGCUCGGUGGUAGAGCACUUCCCUAGCAUGUGUGAGGCCCUGGGUUCAAUCCUCAGCACCACA
rnacentral:tRNA from 1 species